rnacentral:rRNA from 1 species
CCUACGGGGGGCUGCAGUGGGGAAUAUUGCACAAUGGGGGAAACCCUGAUGCAGCGACGCCGCGUGAGUGAAGAAGUAUUUCGGUAUGUAAAGCUCUAUCAGCAGGGAAGAAAAUGACGGUGCCUGAUCAAGAAGCCCCGGCUAACUACGUGCCAGCAGCCGCGGUCAUACGUAGGGGGCAAGCGUUAUCCGGAUUUACUGGGUGGAACGGGAGCGUAGACGGCAGCACAAGUCUGGAGUGAAAUGCCGGGGCUUAACCCCGGAACUGCUUUGGAAACUGUGCAGCUAGAGUGCAGGAGAGGUAAGUGGAAUUCCUAGUGUAGCGGUGAAAUGCGUAGAUAUUAGGAGGAACACCAGUGGCGAAGGCGGCUUACUGGACUGUAACUGACGUUGAGGCUCGAAAGCGUGGGGAGCAAACAGGAUUAGAUGCCCUAGUAGUC